rnacentral:rRNA from 14 species
GGGAGGCGUAGGGAAACCGAGUCUUAAUAGGGCGAUUUAGUUGCUGGGAGUAGACCCGAAACCAGGCGAUCUAUCCAUGGCCAGGGUGAAGGUUCGGUAACACGGACUGGAGGCCCGAACCCACUUAUGUUGAAAAAUGAGGGGAUGAGCUGUGGAUAGGAGUGAAAGGCUAAUCAAGCCUGGAGAUAGCUGGUUCUCCGCGAAAACUAUUUAGGUAGUGCGUCAUGUAUCACUCCAGGGGGUAGAGCACUGUUUCGGCUAGGGGGUCAUCCCGACUUACCAACCCGAUGCAAACUCCGAAUACCUGGAAGUGCAAUCAUGGCAGACAGACGGCGGGUGCUAACGUCCGUCGUCAAGAGGGAAACAACCCAGACCGC